CCUACGGGAGGCAGCAGUGGGGAAUAUUGGACAAUGGGGGGAACCCUGAUCCAGCCAUGCCGCGUGUGUGAAGAAGGCCCUCGGGUUGUAAAGCACUUUCAGUGAGGAAGAACGCCUGGUGGUUAAUACCCAUCAGGAAAGACAUCACUCACAGAAGAAGCACCGGCUAACUCCGUGCCAGCAGCCGCGGUAAUACGGAGGGUGCGAGCGUUGAUCGGAAUUACUGGGCGUAAAGCGCGCGUAGGUGGCUUGAUAAGCCGGUUGUGAAAGCCCCGGGCUCAACCUGGGAACGGCAUCCGGAACUGUCAAGCUAGAGUGCAGGAGAGGAAGGUAGAAUUCCCGGUGUAGCGGUGAAAUGCGUAGAGAUCGGGAGGAAUACCAGUGGCGAAGGCGGCCUUCUGGACUGACACUGACACUGAGGUGCGAAAGCGUGGGUAGCAAACAGGAUUAGAUACCCUAGUAGUC
rnacentral:rRNA from 1 species